CACACUGAGAACAGGCAAAUGCCUUUUGCCCUGUAUGAAUUAUCAUGUGUGUGUUCAGGUUGCUCUUUCUUCUAAAUCUUUGGUCACACUCAGAACAGACAAAUGCUUUUUGUCCUGUAUGAAUUAUCAUGUGUCUGUUCAGAGUGCUCUUUCUUCCAAAUCUUUGGCCACACUCAGAACAGACAAAUGGUUUUUGCCCUGAAUGAAUUAUCAUGUGUGUUUUCAGAGUGCUUUUUCGUCCAAAUCUUUGACCACAUUCAGAACAGACAAAUGCUUUUUGUCCCGUAUGAGUUAUCAUGUGCUUGUUCAUGUCGCUCUUUUGUCUAAACCUUUUACCACACUCAGAACAACCAAACUGUUUUUGCCCUGUAUGCAUUAUCAUGUGUGUGUUCAGGUUGCCCUUUUGUCCACAUCUGUAACCACACUCAGAACAGACAAAUGGUUUUUGACCUGUA